rnacentral:rRNA from 1 species
UACGAAGGGGGCUAGCGUUGCUCGGAAUCACUGGGCGUAAAGCGCACGUAGGCGGAUUGCUAAGUCAGGGGUGAAAUCCUGGAGCUCAACUCCAGAACUGCCUUUGAUACUGGAGAGCUUGAGUCCGGAAGAGGUGAGUGGAACUCCGAGUGUAGAGGUGAAAUUCGUAGAUAUUCGGAAGAACACCAGUGGCGAAGGCGGCUCACUGGUCCGGUACUGACGCUGAUGUGCGAAAGCGUGGGGAGCAAACAGGG